GCUCCCGUAGUGUAGUCCGGUCAAUCAUCCCGGCCUUUCGAGCCGGAGACCCGGGUUCAAAUCCCGGCGGGAGCA
rnacentral:tRNA from 1 species